GCCGGCGUAGCUCAGUGGUUAGAGCAGUGGAAUCAUAAUCCAUGUGUCGGGGGUUCGAAUCCCUCCGUCGGCA
rnacentral:tRNA from 1 species